rnacentral:rRNA from 1 species
AGCGAACGCUGGCGGCAGGCCUAACACACGCAAGUCGAACGGACCCUUCGGGGUUAGUGGCGGACGGGUGAGUAACACGUGGGAACGUGCCUUUAGGUUCGGAAUAGCUCCUGGAAACUGGGAGUAAUACCGUAUGUGGUCGAGAGACGAAAGAUUUAUCGCCAAAGGAUCGGCCCGCGUUGGAUUAGGUAGUUGGUGGGGUAAUGGCCUACCAAGCCGACGAUCCAUAGCUGGUUUGAGAGGAUGAUCAGCCACACUGGGACUGAGACACGGCCCAGACUCCUACGGGAGGCAGCAGUGGGGAAUCUUAGACAAUGGGGGAAACCCUGAUCUAGCCAUGCCGCGUGAUCGAUGAAGGCCUUAGGGUUGUAAAGAUCUUUCAGUGGGGAAGAUAAUGACUGUACCCACAGAAGAAGCCCCGGCUAACUCCGUGCCAGCAGCCGCGGUAAUAC